AAAUCCUGCUUUUCAAAAAUGACACACUGAGCUAUAUUCAAAUUUCACACAGUGCUACUAAAACCCUGCAACUCCCUCCAGAUGAUCUAUUUCUUGUCUAAGUCAUCAUAUCAGCCUG